rnacentral:rRNA from 1 species
AUUGAACGCUGGCGGAAUGCUUUACACAUGCAAGUCGAACGGUAGAGGGGGCAACCCCUCGAGAGUGGCGAACGGGUGAGUAAUAUAUCGGAACGUGCCCAGUCGUGGGGGAUAACGUAGCGAAAGUUACGCUAAUACCGCAUACGAUCUACGGAUGAAAGCGGGGGAUCGCAAGACCUCGCGCGAUUGGAGCGGCCGAUAUCAGGAUUAGGUAGUUGGUGGGGUAAAGGCUCACCAAGCCAACGAUCUGUAGCUGGUCUGAGAGGACGACCAGCCACACUGGGACUGAGACACGGCCCAGACUCC